GUGGCUGAAGAUGAGGAAGGAUGCUACCGCCAAUAGCAGCAACCACUGUUAUUGGGGGGCUCUAAAGAGCCUACUGGGGAUGCCGAGGGAGUUCGAGUUCAAGGACCUCGACAAAGCGAUCAACAAUUUCGACAAGAAAAUGAAGCUAGGGAAAGGGGGCUUUGACGAGGUGUACCGGGGCAUGUUGCCUGGGGAGAACAAGCAGGUUGUCGUGAAGCGAUUCUCUAGAGGUGGCACCUUCGCUCCAAAUGACUUCCUCAAGGAACUCACCAUCAUCAACCGCCUUCGCCAUAAGAACCUCAUCCCCCUUGUUGGCGAGUUCUUCUUGCCCGCCCUAUUUCAUUGUCCAGUUCUAUUCCUCCAAUUUUCACUCUAUUAGUUACCCGAUUCGAUCAUUAAUUUCAUUUGUGCUGCAAAUUAUUCUUCUAACGUUGGUGGUUUCUCAAGCACAUCAAAACAACUUUAUCCCAUUAUCAUUUGAAAAAACUUUGAUUUGAAUUUAACUUUUCUCAUCUCUCUAUAUGAGAUCCUAGCAAUCUUUAUCAUAUAAAGAAUAUUUGACUCUAUUAUGUUGUGCUUGCUUAUCAUCCAAGUCUUUCAUGAUUUGCUGGUGUUCUCUUUUGUUGAUUUGUAGCUGAUACACUAUUUUUAAGGUACCAUUUAUCUACUUGUUUUUAAUCUAAUCUCUAUUUUUUACUACAAUAAUAUCUCCAUGGUUUCUACUAAUCUAUCUCUACAUGCAAACACCCUUUGAAGAAGUGACAGAAAUAUUUGUUGGUCGUAGGGUUUUCCUACAAAAAGGUUUUGCUUAUGUUGUGAUGCAUCAGGUCCAUGUUAAAUUUAUCUUUAUACUUUCAAACUCUAUAAGAUGUGAUUAUAACUUUAUACUUGUUCAGAACUUUUUUUUCAAGUUGUAUCCCUUGUCACCACUCAAUUCCGAAGCAAUCUCUCAAAGUCCCUUGUCUUAACCAACAGGUAAUUGUUCUAUGUUCAUAUUCAAUUAACUAUCUAAAAAUAAUAAUAUUUUUUAACAAUACACGUGUAAAUGUCUGAGCUUUCAUCUGAAGUCUUUGAAACUCCAUAAGAUGUUAUUAUAACUGUAUAUUUGUUUGGAACUAUUUUUUAGGUUGUGUCCCUUAUUGUCACUCAAUUUCAAAGUAAUAUUUCAAAGUCCUUUGUCUUAACCAACAGUUAAUUGUUCAUAUAAUUUAAAUUCAACAUUGCAUUUGUUGGGAUUGUCAUUGCUAUCGAGAAUAGUUGCUUGUGCGAUUUGAUAAUUUUAAUUUUUGCUUGCUACAUACCUAUGAUAUUAGAUCAAAUCAAAAGAAAGAUAUAAAAGAGAAGCGUGAUGAUGGGUGCUCACUAUUAUUAUUAUUAUUUUAUUUUUAUAUUUAGAUCUUCAAGCUUUAUAAAUCUUGUGAUUUUUUAUCGUGACAAACAUGGUGUGAGUUCUUUGCAGAAAAUGGAUAUCAACCAUUAGAGACACAGAAAGAGACAGGCUAGCCUAAAAAUGUGUUAGAAUAUUGUUAGUUAGACUAUUGCUAGUUAAUCAAAUGUGUUGAAGUAUUUAUGAUUGUUGAAGUAUUUAUUGCAGGCUAAAAAUUCUGUUGAAAUAUCUUUGAAGGACAUUAACAAGCUAGCUAGCUAGUAGUUCAAAACCUCUUUGCAUGUGCCAUUUAUUUGAUAAGUUAAGAGAAACUCACCAUUUAAAGCAUGGAGGAAGAAUGCAACUUGGACUUUUCUUGAAGGUGUAGGCUUAAGACUGGAAGAUGAUGCUCUUCUUUUCUGGAAAGCAAAGUUCUCUUAGAAUGUCCUACAAAUUGUUUUCUUUUUCAAUUUUACUUUUGUAUUUUAUUCAUUCAGGUAAACUACUACAUCAGAGAUGCAAUUUCUUAAUAUACUAUAAUAUGAUGAAGGGCAAUGGUUCCUCA